rnacentral:rRNA from 1 species
UACAGAGGUCUCAAGCGUUGUUCGGAUUCAUUGGGCGUAAAGGGUGUGUAGGUGGCGCGCUAAGUCGGGUGUGAAAUUUCGGAGCUUAACUCCGAAACUGCAUUCGAUACUGCCGUGCUUGAGGACUGGAGAGGAGACUGGAAUUUACGGUGUAGCGGUGAAAUGCGUAGAUAUCGUAAGGAAGACCAGUGGCGAAGGCGGGUCUCUGGACAGUUCCUGACGCUGGAGCACGAAGGCCAGGGGAGCAAACAGG